GAUGAACGCUGGCGGCGUGCCUAAUACAUGCAAGUCGAGCGAACAGACGAGGAGCUUGCUCCUCUGACGUUAGCGGCGGACGGGUGAGUAACACGUGGAUAACCUACCUAUAAGACUGGGAUAACUUCGGGAAACCGGAGCUAAUACCGGAUAAUUUUUUGACCGCCAGGUUUAAUUGUUAAAAGCGGUUUUUCCUUUAACUUUUGAAUGAUCCGCGCCGCAUUAGCUAGUUGGUAAGGUAACGGCUUACCAAGGCAACGAUGCGUAGCCGACCUGAGAGGGUGAUCGGCCACACUGGAACUGAGACACGGUCCAGACUCCUACGGGAGGCAGCAGUAGGGAAUCUUCCGCAAUGGGCGAAAGCCUGACGGAGCAACGCCGCGUGAGUGAUGAAGGUCUUCGGAUCGUAAAACUCUGUUAUUAGGGAAGAACAAAUGUGUAAGUAACUAUGCACGUCUUGACGGUACCUAAUCAGAAAGCCACGGCUAACUACGUG
rnacentral:rRNA from 1 species